CUACGGGAGGCUGCAGUGAGGAAUAUUGCACAAUGGGGGAAACCCUGAUGCAGCAACGCCGCGUGGAGGAUGACGCAUUUCGGUGUGUAAACUCCUUUUAUCAGAGAAGAAAAUGACGGUAUCUGAUGAAUAAGCUCCGGCUAACUCCGUGCCAGCAGCCGCGGUAAUACGGAGGGAGCAAGCGUUAUUCGGAAUCACUGGGCGUAAAGGACGCGUAGGCGGGUUUUUAAGUCAGGUGUGAAAUCCUACAGCUCAGCUGUAGAACUGCACUUGAAACUGGGAACCUAGAGUAUGGAUGGGGCAGGUGGAAUUAGUGGUGUAGGGGUAGUAUCCGUAGAUAUCUCUAGGAAUACCGAAAGCGAAGGCGACCUGCUGGGACAUAACUGACGCUGAGGCGUGAAAGCGUGGGGAGCAAACAGGAUUAGAUACCCCCGUAGUC
rnacentral:rRNA from 1 species